rnacentral:rRNA from 1 species
GAUGAACGCUAGCGGCAGGCCUAACACAUGCAAGUCGAGGGAGAAGCCCUUUCGGGGGCAAAAACCGGCGCACGGGUGCGUAACGCGUAUGCAACCUACCUUUCACAGGGGGAUAGCCCGAAGAAAUUUGGAUUAAUACCCCAUAAUAUUAUUGGAUGGCAUCAUUUGAUAAUUAAAACUGCGGUGGUGAAAGAUGGGCAUGCGUCCUAUUAGCUAGUUGGAGUGGUAACGGCACCCCAAGGCUACGAUAGGUAGGGGUCCUGAGAGGGAGAUCCCCCACACUGGUACUGAGACAGGGACCAGACUCCUACGGGAGGCAGCAGUGAGGAAUAUUGGUCAAUGGUCGGAAGACUGAACCAGCCAUGCCGCGUGCAGGAAGAAUGCCUUAUGGGUUGUAAACUGCUUUUAUAUGGGAAGAAUAAGGCGUACGUGUACGUUGAUGACGGUACCAUAUGAAUAAGCAUCGGCUAACUCCGUG